GUGAAUCAUCGAAUUUUUGAACGCAAAUUGCGCUUCCUGGCAUCCCGGGAAGUAUGCCUGUUUGAGCGUCAGUAUUAAUAUAACCUCGGUUUAUAUACUAAUUGUGAUGUUUCCGGAGUUUGUGCUAUCUUUACAUUUUUGGUUAAUUGUCUUAAAAUUGACCUUUUUUGCGCAUUUUUAUACGUACAUAAAUUUUUUUUAUUCGUCUAUUCUUAAUGCCAAUAUCUUAUUAGAUGCGAUCAUAACGUGUGCCUUCGUUUCCAUAA
rnacentral:misc_RNA from 1 species